UACGGAGGGUGCGAGCGUUGUCCGGAAUCACUGGGCGUAAAGGGCGCGUAGGCGGCCUGAUAAGUAGGGGGUGAAAUCCUGCGGCUUAACCGCAGGGCUGCCUUCUAAACUGUCGGGCUCGAGCACAGUAGAGGCAGGUGGAAUUCCCGGUGUAGCGGUGGAAUGCGUAGAGAUCGGGAAGAACAUCAGUGGCGAAGGCGGCCUGCUGGGCUGUUGCUGACGCUGAGGCGCGACAGCGUGGGGAGCAAACAGGAUUAGAUACCGAGUAGUCC
rnacentral:rRNA from 1 species